GUGGGAAGAAAACAGGCUGAAGAGUUGUUUUGAAGGCAUCAGAAGGUUACAAAGGGGAGACAACAUCAUUAUGACCCUCAUAAAAUGUGAUGAAUAAGUCAGGGACGAAUAUUAAAAUAUUAAAAGGGCAAUAGGAUGUUCCCAGAGGAUGGCUGGAAAUGUAUCUUUCCUCCCUUACAUUUUAUAGGAUUUUCCGGCCAAUGAAAAGAUGGGCUCUAACAAUGCUUCAGAGGCUCAGCGGCAAUGGAUUGGUGGCAACGUCAUGCAAUAGCUACCCUGUGACCAUGCUGGAAGUGGAAAGACCACUUUUUACCCAUACUGCUACUUCAGUGUUUUGUUUCAGGAUAUUCAGGGUGCCUCACAAUACAUCUACAGCUCUCAGAACACCAGCUACCCUGCAUACAAGGCUAGGUUAGUAUGAACAGUGUCAUCUGUGUGGAAUAUGCAGAAACUGCCUGGAACUGUCCUAUUUCUUCCAAGAACCAGAAAGAAUUUCCUCAAAACCAAAUACAACUCAAACACAAGCAGGCUUAAAAAGCCAUGUCCGCAUCUGGGACAUUUUGAAUUCCUGGGGGAAAAACAAACAAACUCAAGAAAGGUGUUUUUUUUUUUUUUAAAUAAAAGCAUUUG